rnacentral:lncRNA from 1 species
AUUGGCCCUGUGAAAGCUCUAUGGCCCGAAGCUGAGCCCCCCCCAGCUGAGCAGAUUAGGGGCUAACCUGGGCUGUGCCCUCCUGCCGUGCAGGUUCGCAACUGCCCCAAGGAAAAGCCCUGUACUGCAGGUUGGGGCUGUGAACUUGUGCUGUGAUCUGUGCUCUCACUUCAGGUUUGAGGUUCUUCUCGGAGCCUUCCCUCUCUCCCAGUUUGUGCUGAUCUCUCCCUCUCCCCAUCCCCCCCCCAGCCUUGGGACAAACCUUUUUUGGCAAGACUGCAGAUUUUCUUCAGCUGGAUCACAACUGCCCCAAGGAGAAGCCCCAUACUGAGGGUUGGGGCUGCAGGCUUGUGCUGAGAUCUGUGCCUUCACCCUCGGUUUGAGACUCUCCUCGGAACCUAAUUUCUCUCCCUGUCUGCGCCCAUCUCCCCCCUGGCCCCAGAACCAACCUUUUUUGGUGAGACUGCAGAUUUUCUUCGGCCGAUGUUUCUUGUGCAGUAUGAUGAACAUAGACAUAUAUUUAGAAGAUCUGGACAUAUUUAACUUAUACUGGAUUGUUUGCUGUCCUGGGGAAGUGCAAGGGAGAGAGAGAAAACAUUUGAAA